rnacentral:rRNA from 1 species
UACGAAGGGGGCUAGCGUUGCUCGGAAUUACUGGGCGUAAAGGGCGCGUAGGCGGCGCAAGUAGUCAGGCGUGAAAUUCCUGGGCUUAACCUGGGGGCUGCGCUUGAUACGCUUGUGCUAGAGGAUGGGAGAGGCUCGUGGAAUUCCCAGUGUAGAGGUGAAAUUCGUAGAUAUUGGGAAGAACACCGGUGGCGAAGGCGGCGAGCUGGUCCAUUACUGACGCUGAGGCGCGACAGCGUGGGGGAGCAAACAGG